rnacentral:rRNA from 1 species
GUCUACGGCCAUACCACCCUGAAUACGCCCGAUCUCCUCUGAUCUUGGAAGCUAAGGAAGCCACACACUAAUGUACAUACUAUUAUUUCCAAGUAGAGAACAAAAGAUGCCUUAACA